rnacentral:lncRNA from 1 species
GAACCAGAGAAUUGAUGAGUUUGUUGUAAGACAGUAUCUUCUAGUAACAACAGAAGCUGCACACAUAAUGUCUUACCAGCAUAAAUACCUAAAGAUGAGCUAAACAUGGAAAAUAAUAGUCAUGCCAAAGUGGAUGGGGGAGAAAGAAACAUGAAAUCCCAAGCUCACACGAAGUACUACAGGCAACUAAGAGUGGGAGAAACAGUUUUACACACAGCAUACCAAUCGAUUACUCAAUAUUAAGUUCUGGCCAGGAAAUACCAUGAAAGUACUAUGCAGGUUGCUAGCAGAAGGAAACAAAUUAUUAUAAAACUAUUUGUGUUUAAACAAUUAGCAUAAAAUACUUUUAAGAAGGUGAGAAUAACAAAAUUAGACAUGUAUAACAUUUAGAGAUGUUUAUAAGGUAGCAGGUUCAUUGCUGAAUUUUUAAGAAGUUGGUAAUUACGUAGUAAUAGUUAAUACAUCACUGUCUCCUAGCAGUCUUUUAAUCUGUAUGUCUUCUUACUGCAGUAUACAUAUUACGCUCUGCAAACCCACCUCGUCCUUUCAUUUUCUGUUGCUAGGGUUUUUUGUUUGUUUGUUUGUUUUGUUUUAUUUUAUUUAUUUUUUUUUUUGUGACACAAUCUCUCUGUAUUCUGGCUGCCCUAGAACUUGCUCUCAAGAUCAGAAUUUGAAUUUACGAAGAUCAAACUGCCUCUGCAUCCAAGUCCUGGGAUUAAAGUCAUGUGUCACCAUACCUAGAAACUCAUCAGUUGCUGAAGGCUCAUCGAUAUGAUAACAUGAAGGACCUGUGACCUGGAUCAAUGGCAAACAGAGCUGAGAAAAAUAAUGCUGAAACCACCGCAGAGAACAUUGUGACUGAGACUCAUUGUAAACCUGCAUUUGGUUGAAUCUGUGUGGAUGUAAC